AAAAGACAUGAGGAAAAGAGGAGAAGUCUACUGCAGCUGAAGUAAUUUGUAUAGAGCUGCGCAGUUCAACACGGCAGGUCAACUACAGUCAAAGUCUUGAGUCACCAUGUUAAGAAGUCCAGCUACCUUGCUGGAGAGACCAUGUGGCCAGACCCUAGCAAGUCCAGCCAUCUCAACCAAAGUGCCAGACAUGAUGAAGCCAUCUUGGAAUGCCGCCUUAAGACCACCAUGUUGUGAGGAAGCCCAAGCUAUCAUAUGGAGAGGCCACAUGGAGGAGAAUAAAGGCAUCACAGCUGACGGCCCCAACCUAACUGCCAACUAAAUGCACCCAAGAUAAGGAUAGAAGAAGAACUGUUCG